GCAUCGAUGAUGCUGAUUGUUGUUGAAUGAUUCUUAGAUUUUUUUCCCUCUCCACUUGUAUUGAUUUUUGUAUCUUUGCCUUUUAACAUGCAAACCUGAGUGCUCAAGAGCUGUCUACUCUUUAUAGUUUUCUUAUGAUGAAUUCCAUCUAAAUUAUGAUCAAGGUUUAACAUUUCAACAGGAUAGGGGGCAUCCUUGUCGUCUCGUCCCAUUCUUGUGAGAAAACGGGAUCGAGAUGGGGUCAAGAUUCUGGAAGCCAUCUAUGUAGGGGAGAAGAAGAAAGUGGAAAAAGAAAGGAAGAUGAAGAAGAGGAAAAGUUGAAAGGAAAGAAGAAGAAGAAGAAGAAAAAAUAAAGAAAGAAAGGGAGGAAGAAGAAAAAGAAAGGAAGGAAGAAAGGAAAGAGAAAGAAGAAGAAAAGGAAAAAAAAGAAAGGAAGGGACAAGGAAAAUAAAGAAAAAUGAAAGAAAAGAAAGGAAAGUAGAAGAAAAAGAAAGAAAAGAAGGAAAGAAAAGAAAUAAAGGAAAGAAGAAGGGGAGAG
rnacentral:lncRNA from 1 species